UCUUCAAGCUUGUCAUUCGCGAUAUUACAUCAUAGAAACGAGAUAUGUCAUUAGUGUAUAAUUUACGAGCCUUUUCCCAAACUAAAUAACGUGUCUGGAAUGGACGGAACAUUGGCAUCAACUUGGAUUCAAUAGUUCGCCACAGGAUACUACAUAACUGAGCAUCGACCUUCUCCCAUAGUGUUUUGGCCUUUUCAUCACCUUCGAUAACCCUUUUUGUUAAAUGAUCGUGAACUCCUUGACCUUUACAGCACAACUCGACAGACGAAGCCCAAGGUAGGUAGUUUGAAC
rnacentral:lncRNA from 1 species